GUGCAGCAGGCGCGAAAACUUUACAAUGCGGGAAACCGUGAUAAGGGGACACCGAGUGCCAGCAUCAUAUGCUGGCUGUCCGGAUGUGUAAAAUACAUCCGUUAGCAAGGGCCGGGCAAGACCGGUGCCAGCCGCCGCGGUAACACCGGCGGCCCGAGUGGUGAUCGUGAUUAUUGGGUCUAAAGGGUCCGUAGCCGGUUUGGUCAGUCCUCCGGGAAAUCUGAUAGCUCAACUAUUAGGCUUUCGGGGGAUACUGCCAGACUUGGAACCGGGAGAGGUAAGAGGUACUACAGGGGUAGGGGUGAAAUCUUGUAAUCCCUGUGGGACCACCUGUGGCGAAGGCGUCUUACCAGAACGGGUUCGACGGUGAGGGACGAAAGCUGGGGGCACGAACCGGAUUAGAUACCCGGGUAGUCC
rnacentral:rRNA from 1 species